UGGGCUUUGAUUGUAGGCUUUUAAUGUAUAGCGUGAACGGCGACUAUGAAAUCUAGGUUUGAUCUUCAUCAUCUCAGCUUCUUCAAUCCCAGACGAGCCAGCAAUGGAGUUUCAGGACGUUGUGGGAGACGAAUAUUUGGGAGGAAUCUUUUGCUCGAGCUUUCUUCGUGUCGGUUCGGCUAACUUUUUCCUCCGAAACGUUACGAGAUGCAAUGAUUCGUCGCCGUUAACAACCAUCUUUACUUCUUCGACCCACAAUCAUGAUGAUUAAUUAUUUAAUGCUUCUUAUCUCUCUUCCAGAUUGUUGAUCUCAACCUAUAAAAAGGCCAGCCUUCAACCCUUUAGCAUCAUCCUCACAAUUCUUAAUAUUUAUAGAAUUUUAUUUUCCAGUAUAAUGGCUAAUCCGUCAAUGGUUCUCUCUGAUUUGCAGGCUUGCCGCUGUUCUUCAACCGUCAAGGUCUCUGAUUUUGGGAAACGAGCGGAGCUGACAGUGUGGACAUGCUCCUGCUAAGUUGGUUGUUCAGUCAGGGAGAGUUAACAGCAACUGUUUAUGAAAUUAAAAUGCCAAAAAAGGAUGAAAAAAGUGUAGAACCGGCAGUAUGUGAGUCAUUCUUUUCAUAGCAACAUCGCACUCUUGCCAAAGUCAUCUUCUCUCUUGACAAGCAUUGUCGGCAAUUGAGUGGCUAGGAGAUAGAAGAAGGUAAGGGCUACUUGAGUCCGUGUUCAGGGGAAACUCACCCGCUUAUAUUCAGGUCUCCAGUGAAGGGUAUGGAGGGCAUCUUGACCAACCUACUCAUGUGAGAACACGGACCUAGAUCAGAGGGUUCUUCUAACUCUUAACGCCUCAGCUUCCAAAUCUUUUUCGGUCUCACUCGCUCUUCUUCUUCUCCUACGAUUAGCUGUGUUUCCGUUUCAACUUCCCUCUUGAGAUUCUCUCCAUAUGUAUUCUGAUUGAGUUUUCCAAUCUUCACAGCAUUUGUUUUAACUGCGUAUGUGAAAUUCGUGCAGUUUUAAAGUCAAUGAAAAGAUCAUCCUGAUGCUCUGUUA